GAAGGCCUUAGGGUCGUAAAGCUCUUUCGCCUGUGAUGAUAAUGACAGUAGCAGGUAAAGAAACCCCGGCUAACUCCGUGCCAGCAGCCGCGGUAAUACGGAGGGGGUUAGCGUUGUUCGGAAUUACUGGGCGUAAAGCGCACGUAGGCGGAUCAGAAAGUUGGGGGUGAAAUCCCGGGGCUCAACCCCGGAACUGCCUCCAAAACUUCUGGUCUGGAGUUCGAGAGAGGUGAGUGGAAUUCCGAGUGUAGAGGUGAAAUUCGUAGAUAUUCGGAGGAACACCAGUGGCGAAGGCGGCUCACUGGCUCGAUACUGACGCUGAGGUGCGAAAGUGUGGGGAGCAAACAGGAUUAGAUACCCUGGUAGUCCACACCGUAAACGAUGAAUGCCAGUCGUCGGCAAGCAUGCUUGUCGGUGACACACCUAACGGAUUAAGCAUUCCGCCUGGGGAGUACGGUCGCAAGAUUAAAACUCAA
rnacentral:rRNA from 1 species